rnacentral:rRNA from 1 species
UACAGAGGGGGCAAGCGUUAUUCGGAAUUAUUGGGCGUAAAGGGCGCGUAGGCGGCUUUGCAAGUGGCGGGUGAAAUCCCUCGGCUUAACCGAGGAACUGCCUGCCAGACUGUGAGGCUUGAGACCGGGAGAGGUGAGUGGAAUUCCCAGUGUAGCGGUGAAACGCGUAGAUAUUGGGAGGAACACCAGUGGCGAAGGCGGCUCACUGGACCGGAACUGACGCUGAGGCGCGAAAGCGUGGGGAGCAAACAGG